UUAGAAAAUGGGUAAUGCACUUCGUUUACACCGAAGGGGUUGGGAGUUCGAGUCUCUCACCGCCCA
rnacentral:tRNA from 1 species